CGAGCUCCUUACCCUAUCUCUAAGGCUGAGCCCGGACACCCUGAGGAGGAAACCCAUUUCAGCCGCUUGUAUCUGCGAUCUUGUUCUUUCGGUCAUUACCCAAAGUUCAUGACCAUAGGUGAGGAUCGGCACGUAGAUCGACCGGUAAAUCCAGAGUCUCUCCUUACGGCUCAGCUCUUUCUUCACCACCACUGAUCGGUUAAGCGUCCGCAUCACUGCUGACGCCGCUCCGAUCCGCCUGUCAAUCUCCCGCUCCAUCCUACCCUCACUCUUGAACAAGAUCCCGAGACACUUGAACUCCUCCACCUGAGGCAGGACCUCCCCUCCAACCAUGACCAUGACCUGUAGGCCUCCUUCCUCAGCCUGACGGCUCCCCUCACCUCUGGUGUCCACCACCGAGUUCAGGGAUUACCACCAUGACCAGUACCAGCGACCUUGCGGCCGCAGCUCGCAACAGCUGCUUCGACAAUGGGAGAGCGGAACAAAGUCCAUUCGGACUCAAUGUCACCCUCUGCCCUCGGGAUGCAGUUGAAGCUCUGUCGGAGCCUCAACUGCGGGUUGAGCCAACCUGACAGACUAUAACCCUCAUGUUUUCUUUGUUGUUUCCGUAUUUCUGUGUAAAAACAUCACCUGCACACAGAGUGGAUAUGAGCUGAG